UCUCUCUCUCUCUCUCUCUCUCUCUCUCUCUCGCACGGACACACUACAAGCAGCGCCACCGCCCUCCCGCCGCCGGCGCAGGGACCCUCCCCCUCCCUUGCUGCGAGCUGCUUCGGCAGGGACUGCCCCUCCCCUGCCUCCUCAGUCCCCACGGCUGUCGAGACGGACGCCCUUCCCUUCCCUAUCCACCUCCGUUGGUGGAGGCGCAGAGUUUGCCUCCACCAGAUCCUCUGUCGCGGACUCGUCGUGAGCGCUGGAGGGCUCUACAACGCCUACCUCCUCCUCCCGCGGGACAAGACGCAGAAUCGGAGCGAGCGCCGGGGAGGACGCCCUGCUCCGAUGGGUUGGGCGUGUCGCGAGCUUCGCCGUGUGGCCAAGUACGGCGUGCUCCAGAGUGGAUGGUCGACGCCCUCCCCACCUCGCCCGUGACUGGUUUAGCUCUGACAGAAACAGCUAUGGGACAGGUACAACAUGAAGUUGGGUUCUAGUCUUUUAGCUACAGUGCAGGGAAGCAAGCUUGGAUUCACUGAAUGAUGUGUACACACCAAGUGCACCUCGCUUUCAUAAUAGCAAGCAACCCCAUUCUGAGAUUCUUCUGAUUAUGACACUCUUAAUAAUUGAAGGGGAGAGUUGGUGUUCAUGAAACCAGAUUGAUUUGCUUGGUACAGAGUAUGAGCAUUGUUUCCCGUGAGCUAGCUUCCUAUGCCCAGCUGGUGGCUUAAU